UUAAAUUGAAGAGUUUGAUCAUGGCUCAGAUUGAACGCUGGCGGCAGGCCUAACACAUGCAAGUCGAACGGUAACAGGAAGCAGCUUGCUGCUUCGCUGACGAGUGGCGGACGGGUGAGUAAUGUCUGGGAAACUGCCUGAUGGAGGGGGAUAACUACUGGAAACGGUAGCUAAUACCGCAUAACGUCGCAAGACCAAAGAGGGGGACCUUCGGGCCUCUUGCCAUCGGAUGUGCCCAGAUGGGAUUAGCUAGUAGGUGGGGUAACGGCUCACCAAGGCGACG
rnacentral:rRNA from 1 species